CAGCAGCCGCGGUAAAACCAGCACCUCGAGUGGUCAGGAGGUUUAUUGGGCCUAAAGCAUCCGUAGCCGGUUGCAUAAGUUUUCGGUUAAAUCUAUGCGCUUAACGUAUAGGCCGCCGAAAAUACUGUGCAGCUAGGGAGUGGGAGAGGUACACGGUACUCGAUAGGAAGGGGUAAAAUCCUUUGAUCUAUUGAUGACCACCUGUGGCGAAGGCGGUGUACCAGAACACGUUCGACGCUGAGGCACGAAAGCGUGGGGAGCAAACAGGAUUAGACCCCCGUAGUCCCUGUCUCUUAUACAC
rnacentral:rRNA from 1 species